GUAGUCAUAUGCUUGUCUCAAAGAUUAAGCCAUGCAUGUCUAAGUAUAAGCAAUUAUACAGCGAAACUGCGAAUGGCUCAUUAUAUAAGUUAUCGUUUAUUUGAUAGUACCUUACUACUUGGAUAACCGUGGUAAUUCUAGAGCUAAUACAUGCUAAAAAUCCCGACUUCGGAAGGGAUGUAUUUAUUAGAUUAAAAACCAAUGCCCUCUGGGCUCUCUGGUGAUUCAUGAUAACUUCUCGAAUCGCAUGGCCUUGCGCCGGCGAUGGUUCAUUCAAAUUUCUUCCCUAUCAACUUUCGAUGUUUGGGUAGUGGCCAAACAUGGUUGCAACGGGUAACGGAGGGUUAGGGCUCGACCCCGGAGAAGGAGCCUGAGAAACGGCUACUACAUCCAAGGAAGGCAGCAGGCGCGCAAAUUACCCAAUCCCGAUUCGGGGAGGUAGUGACAAUAAAUACUGAUACAGGGCUCUUUUGGGUCUUGUAAUUGGAAUGAGUACAAUUUAAAUCCCUUAACGAGGAACAAUUGGAGGGCAAGUCUGGUGCCAGCAGCCGCGGUAAUUCCAGCUCCAAUAGCGUGUAUUAAAGUUGUUGUGGUUAAAAAGCUCGUAGUUGAACCUUGGGCCUGGCUGGCCGGUCCGCCUCACCGCGUGUACUGGUCCGGCCGGGUCUUUCCCUCUGUGGAACCCCAUGCCCUUCACUGGGUGUGGCGGGGAAACAGGACUUUUACUUUGAAAAAAUUAGAGUGCUCCAGGCAGGCCUAUGCUCGAAUACAUUAGCAUGGAAUAAUGAAAUAGGACGUGCGGUUCUAUUUUGUUGGUUUCUAGGACCGCCGUAAUGAUUAAUAGGGACAGUCGGGGGCAUCAGUAUUCAAUUGUCAGAGGUGAAAUUCUUGGAUUUAUUGAAGACUAACUACUGCGAAAGCAUUUGCCAAGGAUGUUUUCAUUAAUCAGGAACGAAAGUUAGGGGAUCGAAGACGAUCAGUACCGUCGUAGUCUUAACCAUAAACUAUGCCGACUAGGGAUCGGACGAUGUUAUUUUUUGACUCGUUCGGCACCUUACGAGAAAUCAAAGUGCUUGGGCUCCAGGGGGAGUAUGGUCGCAAGGCUGAAACUUAAAGAAAUUGACGGAAGGGCACCACCAGGGGUGGAGCCUGCGGCUUAAUUUGACUCAACACGGGGAAACUCACCAGGUCCAGACACAAUGAGGAUUGACAGAUUGAGAGCUCUUUCUUGAUUUUGUGGGUGGUGGUGCAUGGCCGUUCUUAGUUGGUGGAGUGAUUUGUCUGCUUAAUUGCGAUAACGAACGAGACCUUAACCUGCUAAAUAGCCAGUAUUGCUUUGGCAGUACGCCGGCUUCUUAGAGGGACUAUCGGCUCAAGCCGAUGGGAAGUUUGAGGCAAUAACAGGUCUGUGAUGCCCUUUAGAUGUUCUGGGCCG
rnacentral:rRNA from 1 species